rnacentral:rRNA from 1 species
GAGUGAACGCUGGCGGUAGGCCUAACCCAUGCAAGUCGAACGGCAGCCCAGUAAGAGCUUGCUCUUACGGGUGGCGAGUGGCGGACGGGUGCGGAAUACAUCGGAAUCUACUUUUUCGUGGGGGCUAACGUAGGGAAACUUACGCUAAUACCGCAUACGACCUACGGGUGAAAGCAUGGGAUCUUCGGACCUUGCGCGAUUGAAUGAGCCGAUGUCGGAUUAGCUAGUUGGCGGGGUAAAGGCCCACCAAGGCGACGAUCCGUAGCUGGUCUGAGAGGAUGAUCAGCCACACUGGAACUGAGACACGGUCCAGACUCCUACGGGAGGCAGCAGUGGGGAAUAUUGGACAAUGGGCGCAAGCCUGAUCCAGCCAUACCGCGUGGGUGAAGAAGGCCUUCGGGUUGUAAAGCCCUUUUGUUGGGAAAGAAAAGCAGCAGGUUAAUACCCCGCUGUUCUGACGGUACCCAAAGAAUAAGCACCGGCUAACUUCGUG